rnacentral:tRNA from 1 species
UUUGUUAGUUUUAAAAGGUUAAAGUUUUAAAUUGAGUUUUAAUUAAGAUUUUUUAAAAAAUUGAGAAAU